GGCGCUGUAGUGUAGCGGUUAUCACUUGAGAUUCUGACGAACGUUCUCAUAACCCAGGUUCGAUUCCUGGCAGUGCCU